CUAGUAACGGCGAAGUGAAGCGGCAGAGCUCAAAUUUGAAAGCUGGCUCCUUCGGGGUCCGCAUUGUAAUUUGCAGAGGAUGCUUCGGGAGCGGUCCCCGUCUAAGUGCCCUGGAACGGGCCGUCAUAGAGGGUGAGAAUCCCGUAUGGGACGGGGUGUCCGCGCCCGUGUGAAGCUCCUUCGACGAGUCGAGUUGUUUGGGAAUGCAGCUCUAAAUGGGUGGUAAAUUUCAUCUAAAGCUAAAUAUUGGCCGGAGACCGAUAGCGCACAAGUAGAGUGAUCGAAAGAUGAAAAGCACUUUGAAAAGAGAGUUAAAAAGCACGUGAAAUUGUUGAAAGGGAAGCGCUUGCGACCAGACUCGCCUACGGGGUUCAGCCGGCAUUCGUGCCGGUGUACUUCCCCGUGGGCGGGCCAGCGUCGGUUUGGGCGGCCGGUCAAAGGCCCCCGGAAUGUAACGCCUCUCGGGGCGUCUUAUAGCCGGGGGUGCAAUGCGGCCUGCCUGGACCGAGGAACGCGCUUCGGCACGGACGCUGGCAUAAUGGUCGUAAGCGACCCGUCUUGAAACACGGACCAAGGAGUCUAACAUCUACGCGAGUGUUCGGGUGUCAAACCCGUACGCGCAGUGAAAGCGAACGGAGGUGGGAACCCUUACGGGUGCACCAUCGACCGAUCCUGAUGUCUUCGGAUGGAUUUGAGUAAGAGCGUAGCUGUUGGGACCCGAAAGAUGGUGAACUAUGCCUGAAUAGGGCGAAGCCAGAGGAAACUCUGGUGGAGGCUCGCAGCGGUUCUGACGUGCAAAUCGAUCGUCGAAUUUGGGUAUAGGGG
rnacentral:rRNA from 1 species